rnacentral:rRNA from 1 species
UACAGAGGUCCCAAGCGUUGUUCGGAUUCAUUGGGCGUAAAGGGUGCGUAGACGGUUGUGUAAGUUAGGUGUGAAAGCCCCGGGCUCAACCUGGGAAUUGCAUUUAAGACUGCAUAGCUAGGGUGCGGAAGAGGGAAGCGGAAUUUCCGGUGUAGCGGUGAAAUGCGUAGAUAUCGGAAGGAACAUCAGUGACGAAAGCGGCUUCCUGGUCCAGCACCGACGUUCAGGCACGAAAGCGUGGGGAGCAAACAGG